UCCGGGCGGACGCCGAGUCCUGCCGCCGCCCGGAUGACCGGUCGACAGGAGUGGAUCGGCAGGAGUGGAGGACCCAGGCAAGGCGGGUCGCCGUAGCGGCUGGCCGUCCGUGAGAACGGACGGGCACACGCUCCGGGCCGACCCUUGGGGUGAAGCCGCGGCAACGCGGCCGGGCUACUUCGCCAGCCCGAAUCCGACAGGUCAUCCUUCACAGGCGGCUGACGAAGGGUUG
rnacentral:sRNA from 2 species